CCUACGGGGGGCAGCAGUGAGGAAUAUUGGUCAAUGGGCGCGAGCCUGAACCAGCCAAGUAGCGUGAAGGAUGACUGCCCUACGGGUUGUAAACUUCUUUUAUAAAGGAAUAAAGUGAGGCACGUGUGCCUUUUUGUAUGUACGUUAUGAAUAAGGAUCGGCUAACGCCGUGCCAGCAGCCGAGGUAAUACGGAGGAUCCGAGCGUUAUCCGGAUUUAGUGGGUUUAAAGGGAGCGUAGAUGGGUUGUUCAGUCAGUUGUGACAGUUUGCGGCUCAACCGUAAAAUUGCAAUUGAUACUGGCAGUCUUGAGUACAGUUGAGGUAGGCGGAAUUCGUGGUGUAGCGGUUACAUGCUUCGAUAUCACGAAGCACUCCGAUUGCGAAGGCAGCUUACUAAACUGCCACUGACAUUGAUGCUCGAAAGUGUGGGUAUCAAACAGGAUUCGAUACCCUUGUAGUC
rnacentral:rRNA from 1 species